rnacentral:sRNA from 1 species
GGGGUUAUUUAGCCCUAUAUGCAUUUGCUUCAAUUUGAAGAAUAUAUACCUGGAGAAUGCCGCACCAUCGGAUAAAUUUCAUGUUAACUCCAUAUUCAAGAUCAUCAGGAGCAUGAGAGUAACCCCCUAACAUGGUGGCAUAUAUUCAUACCUUGAGUGCAAGGGCUAUGGCAACCCCAACAAUGAAAAGAAAGAAAGGCACAACGAAAUCGGCCAAAGUACAUCCAUUCCAUGGGGAGUGAUCAAUGCGUGGAUAAGCUUCACCAGCAUCGUCUACCAAUAUCAUCAACUGCACAUAAAUUAAGAGCGAAAAAUGUUUACCAAUUAA